rnacentral:tRNA from 1 species
GCGUUUAGCUCAGUCCGGUAGAGCAUCUGACUCUUAAUCAGCUGGUCGUAGGUUCGAAUCCUACAAC